rnacentral:rRNA from 1 species
UGGGGAAUCUUAGACAAUGGGCGCAAGCCUGAUCUAGCCAUGCCGCGUGAGCGAUGAAGGCCUUAGGGUUGUAAAGCUCUUUUGGCGGGGAAGAUAAUGACGGUACCCGCAGAAUAAGCCCCGGCUAACUUCGUGCCAGCAGCCGCGGUAAUACGAAGGGGGCUAGCGUUGCUCGGAAUCACUGGGCGUAAAGCGCACGUAGGCGGAUUCUUAAGUCAGAGGUGAAAGCCUGGAGCUCAACUCCAGAACUGCCUUUGAUACUGGGAGUCUCGAGUUCGGGAGAGGUGAGUGGAACUGCGAGUGUAGAGGUGAAAUUCGUAGAUAUUCGCAAGAACACCAGUGGCGAAGGCGGCUCACUGGCCCGAUACUGACGCUGAGGUGCGAAAGCGUGGGGAGCAAACA